rnacentral:rRNA from 1 species
GAGGAAAAGAAACCAACAGGGAUUGCCUUAGUAGCGGCGAGUGAAGCGGCAAAAGCUCAAAUUUGAAAUCUGGCACCUUCGGUGUCCGAGUUGUAAUUUGAAGAUUGUAACCUUGGGGUUGGCUCUUGUCUAUGUUUCUUGGAACAGGACGUCACAGAGGGUGAGAAUCCCGUGCGAUGAGAUGCCCAAUCCUAUGUAAGGUGCUUUCGAAGAGUCGAGUUGUUUGGGAAUGCAGCUCUAAGUGGGUGGUAAAUUCCAUCUAAAGCUAAAUAUUGGCGAGAGACCGAUAGCGAACAAGUACAGUGAUGGAAAGAUGAAAAGAACUUUGAAAAGAGAGUGAAAAAGUACGUGAAAUUGUUGAAAGGGAAGGGUUUGAGAUCAGACUCGAUAUUUUGUGAGCCUUGCCUUCGUGGCGGGGUGACCCGCAGCUUAUCGGGCCAGCAUCGGUUUGGGCGGUAGGAUAAUGGCGUAGGAAUGUGACUUUGCUUCGGUGAAGUGUUAUAGCCUGCGUUGAUGCUGCCUGCCUAGACCGAGGACUGCGAUUUUAUCAAGGAUGCUGGCAUAAUGAUCCCAAACCGCCG